UACGAAGGGUGCAAGCGUUACUCGGAAUUACUGGGCGUAAAGGGUGCGUAGGUGGUUUGUUAAGUCUGCUGUGAAAUCCCCGGGCUCAACCUGGGAAUGGCAGUGGAUACUGGCAAGCUAGAGUGCGGUAGAGGGUAGUGGAAUUCCCGGUGUAGCAGUGAAAUGCGUAGAGAUCGGGAGGAACACCAGUGGCGAAGGCGGCUAUCUGGACCAGCACUGACACUGAAGCACGAAAGCGUGGGGAGCAAACAGG
rnacentral:rRNA from 1 species